GGUCUAGUGCUGUAUGGAAGACUAGUGAUUUUGUUGUUCUAAUAUACUAUGACAACAAGUCACAGCCGGCCUCACAGCAUGGACU
rnacentral:pre_miRNA from 1 species